rnacentral:rRNA from 1 species
UACGUAGGGUGCAAGCGUUGUCCGGAAUUAUUGGGCGUAAAGAGCUCGUAGGCGGUCUGUUAAGUCGGACGUGAAAUCCCUCGGCUCAACCGGGGAACUGCGUCCGAUACUGGCGGGCUUGAAUUCGGGAGAGGGAUGUGGAAUUCCAGGUGUAGCGGUGAAAUGCGUAGAUAUCUGGAGGAACACCGGUGGCGAAGGCGGCAUCCUGGACCGACAUUGACGCUGAGGCGCGAAAGCCAGGGGAGCAAACGGG